CCUACGGGAGGCAGCAGUGAGGAAUAUUGGUCAAUGGGCGCGAGCCUGAACCAGCCAAGUAGCGUGAAGGAUGAAUGCCCUACGGGUUGUAAACUUCUUUUACAAAGGAAUACAGUCAGGCUCGUGUGCCUUUUUGUAUGUACUUUAUGAUUAAGGAACGCCUAACCCCGUUCCAGCAGCCGCGGUAAUAUGGAGGAUCCGAGCGUUAUCCGGAUUUAUUGGGUUUAAAGGGAGCGUAGAUGGGUUGUUAAGUCAGUUGUGAAAGUUUGCGGCUCAACCGUAAAAUUGCAAUUGAUACUGGCAGCCUGGAGUACAGUUGGGGUAGGCGGAAUUCGUGGUGUAGCGGUGAAAUGCUUAGA
rnacentral:rRNA from 1 species